rnacentral:misc_RNA from 1 species
UGUGGGAGCUGGCUUGCCUGCGAUGCGGGCGACUCAGUGCUUCAGUUAAACCGAGGCGAUGCUAUCGCAGGCAAGCCAGCUCCCACA